UACAGAGGAUGCAAGCGUUAUCCGGAAUGAUUGGGCGUAAAGCGUCUGUAAGUGGCUUUUUAAGUCCGCCGUCAAAUCCCAGGGCUCAACUCUGGACAGGCGGUGGAAACUACCAAGCUUGAGUACGGUAGGGGCAGAGGGAAUUUCCGGUGGAGCGGUGAAAUGCGUAGAGAUCGGAAAGAACACCAACGGCGGAAAGCACUCUGCUGGGCCGACACUGACACUGAGAGACGAAAGCUAGGGGAGCGAAUGGG
rnacentral:rRNA from 1 species